AUACCUUUCUCGGCCUUUUGGCUAAGAUCAAGCGUAGUAUCUGUUCUUAUCAGUUUAAUAUCUGAUAACCCGAGCCUACGGGUUCGGGGGCAAGCUUGUAGGUUUUACCUAUAUGUUUGCCUUGAUAUUAAUUUUUCCAUAGGGGAAGGACCCUUGAUAUAGUAGCUUGCUACUUAGGUUCCUUCUGUGUCACCCUUAUUUUGCACUCUUGUGAGGGUUUGGCACACCCACU
rnacentral:snRNA from 1 species